GGUACGGUUUUGGAUGGGAGUCUCAGCUACUGGAGACAGGGUUCCUCGCCACAUUUUUGUGUCCCGUUUGGAACCUCUCUGCCGUACCUCCAGACACGCCCACUUCUAAAACCAUCAUCUGGGCAUUCCGCUGGCUCAUCUUCAGGAUCAUGAUUGGUGCUGGUUUGAUAAAACUUCGUGGUGACCAGUGCUGGAGAGAUCUUACCUGCAUGAAUUAUCACUACCAG